UCUCUCUCUCUCUCUCUCUCUCGUAUCUGAAUAAUAACAAAUGAAGAUGAAGGAGAAAUGCAGCGUGUCCAUGAUGUUUGACUUUAAAAUAUAUACCCUGCCCGCCCCACCUUUCCAUUUCAGCUCAAGUUUGGAAAGACAUUAUGAGGUUACAAGAUCAUCUAAAGACGUAUAUAGACUAGAUAGAGAGGCUAACUGCCUGGCGGAUGCAUUAGCAAACUCGAGGUUUCCUUUUCUUCUUUCUACUGAGUUUAAUUGGAAUGUAAUUUGUAUAGGAUCCACUUUACUGUGAUUUUUUUGGAGAAAAUUUUGUAACCUAAAGAGACCAUUUGCAUGAAUCUACACUGGGGAGUCUUUUGUUAA